ACCCUAGCCAUUGGUGCGCUCUCUCCCCAAUCCCCUCUCAUUUGGCCGCCUCCUCCGCUCCCAGCCGCCGCCUCCCCCGCUCCCAGCCGCCGCCUCCCCAUCUCCCGCUCCACGCCGUCGUCGGCGUCCUCUCCGGCGAGCCGUCGUCGUCCGCGUCCUCUCGCUCUGGGUCAUGAAGACCAAGGACGAGCGGUGAUCUAGGCAAGAAAAGGCGACUCUGCCUUGCAUGGCCGAGCUCGCCUGGUGGAGGAUCUUAGGGGAGCAGGAUGAGGGAGGUCGCGGCUGUGGCGGGAGGAGGACUAGGUGGCCGAGCUCGGCAGGGGAUAGGCUUCCACGGCCACCGUCGCCACCAGCGCCGCCAUAUCCUUCUCCUCCACUCAUGUGCUCCCUCGCCAUUUUCCUGCGUGCUCCUCUUCCUCCUCGUUCCCCUUCCCCUGCUCUCUCCUCCAGCAAUUCCCUUGCCUUUGCCGUCUCUCCUUCCUCUGGUCCAUCUCCUAUCGUUGCCAUAUCCGGCUGGGAGAGCAGCUCUGGCCUUGAGGUGGCACAGAAGAUUCGUGGAGGGGCCGUCCAUUCUCACUGCCCCUAGCCAAAUAAGGUGUUCAUUUCUUCUCCUCUUCCUCCUCCCCCUUCUGCUCAUAAUUUCCUCUCCCCAUCCAAUCCUUAAUGCUUGAUAUGAUUUGCUGCUGCAUACGUAAUGCUGAUUUGGUUUGUAUGCUGAAUCGAAUCCCCGCGAUUCCCAUCGCCUCCGCUUGAGCUGCACGUGCUCGUCGCUCUUCGCCGAGUCCGUCAGGAACUCCGGCGCGUGCACGCUGGGGGAUGGCUCCGGGCUCGCGUCUCCAUACUCACGCUGGGGAAAGGAUUUUCUGUGGAUGGAUACCAUGGAGAUGGGACUCCCAGCGGGGGCUCUGAGGCUGAGACUUUGCUUGGUUACCUGCUCGUAGCAGCAGCAAGUGGUGAAUUUUACUCUUAUUCAGGAUAAUGACAGGCUUAUGGAUAAAAUACUCCAUGGCAGGAGUAGAAGAAUUUUGAAACAGGACAGUGGGAAACUGUCUACAUGGUUGAAUGGCAUCACCAGUCACUCCAUGACUUUUGUGUUGCGCUUUGAUAUUUCAGUAUUUUCAAUAGUGGCAACAAACAGUGUUAAGUUUCAACGGCAAGUUCGAUUCACUUGGCAAAUAAGCAUCGAGUCAAAAUCUUUCAUGUAAGUCAUGCUGGGGAUGAUCGUCGGGACGUAUUUUUGUAAAUGGUCAGGCCAAUCCAUCGAAGAUGUGGUUCAAGACUUCAAGAACUUGGGACCAUAUCUGCUGACAUGGCUCCUAUUAUUGAUGCGUUUUCAGUUGACGAUGAUGAGCUUGACCUACACUUACAUAGGGUUUCUUUUCUAUACCUGAAGCUAUUGAGGAUAUUCGCCAAGGAAAAGUAUGUCCUUGUUCCAUGUUUACUAGAAUAUUUUGUGGUCAUUUGCUUUGUAAUCCUACCCGAUUUCGGUAUGUGAUAGUUGUGGAUGAUGAUGACAAGGAAAAAGAAGGAGAUCUUAUAAUGGCAGCAUCCGUCGAGCACGAAGGACGGAAGGAGAGGCGGAGCGUGGGGGCGGCGAGAGCUCAGCAAAGGCUCACACUCUAAUCUGAAAUUGAUGGCUUCAGCACCGAAUCAAUUUAUCAUACUUGCGUACAUGGCAAAAAAGCAAUUAUGCAGAUUUCGUCAUGAUUAUCUGCAGAUGUAACCUCUGAUUGCAAAUAAUACGACAUGAUGUCUGCAGUUGCUCAACGGUGAACGGUAUGCAUAUAACUACUGAGAUUUUCCCCAAGCAUAUGUGGUUUAUUAGUAUAAUUAAAUUCCAGGUGACCCUCAUGCUUAUCUAUUAAUAUUCUGAGAAACUUUGGAUGACAUUGUGUUUUGCUGUUGCUCACAGUGUGUAGUUUCAGUUUCUGAAAAGGGCAUGAAUGAGGUAGUCUAUGCUUUGGCAUGCUAAUUUGUCGGUGCACAAAUCUAGGCGUCGGUGAGUGUGUGUUUUGUAAGACUUGAUCCAGUUUCAUAAUGAAAUUGUGAGUCCUGGGGCUCCCUUCUCUUGGAAAAAAAAAAUCAAAUGCUUGCUGCCAUUUUUCCUCAACUAUUUUUGCUCACGAUUACUUCUUGGUAGCCUUUUCCAUUCUUUUCACCUGUUUCUCUUCUUUCAGAUUUAUAGGCCUUUUUAUAUGUGAAUUGAGCUGAUGCUAUGGCCUGUUCUUGAAAUUUGGAUGUUGAUACCUGGGACAUUUUUCUGUGUAUAAUUUUAAUAAUUUCAAACAUGAUUAAUUUUGCUUAGCUUCGUGAGUAUUUGCAGCUAUAUACAUCUCAUGGUUUCUCUUUCUCAUUUCAUCUUAGUUGUUCCAGUCUGGGUUAUAAUGGCAUAAGGUACUGGGCACUCAUUUUCCAGUGAAGUACAUUUCAGAUAUUCAGGCCUUAUGCUUUCCUGCGCUAUUUUGUGCCUCUGCAUUGUCGCGGCAUGAGGGACAACAGUGACAACAAUCAGUGCGUGUUGGGUCAGGGUUGGAGCGCGAUGAAGGGAUGUGGCGGGUGCCGGAGACAGGAGGUGGCCUACAUUGUUGUGCACGAGGGGCGCCAGUGACAACAAUCAGCUUCAGAAUUGAGUAGUCCGCAAGAAGGAACAACAGUGCUGACGAGCAAUCCAGGAGGUACUGUAAACUUUUGUUGUUUUGGAUCUUUUGAAAACGAAAUGAGAUGGAGGUGGAGCUGGCCAAGGUCGCAAAGAAGACCACCAAUGACCUGACGGACGUGCAGCUGUUCUUUAUGACCGUCGGCUUGAGGGUGACCAGCGACCUCACUAAACUAUUGCGCAGUUGGUCUUCCUCGCUCUGCCUCAAGUCCCUCGCCAGUAGGUAACACUGAGCCAUCACUUGCAGCAGACGCGGAAGCUGCACCACCCCUAAAGAAAAAAAAAGUGGGGAUUGGGCACAUGUAUGUGUUUACAGAAGAAAAGCAACUGAUUGUGUGCUACUCAUAACAUAUCAGAUAGGAUAGAUGAUGGCAUGAAGAUCAACGAGCAGCCAAUCGUGACGAACCUGUUGUUCAAUAUUGACGAGAAGCCGCACCCGGUGUUCACCUAGGAUGGCAAUGAACGAUGGUGAGGUAGAAGGUACCCCUCUAAGAUGCCCUAAUGGGGCACAUGAUGUUAUGACACUGCAUACCGGUUCCCAAUUCUAAUCUUUGUUUA